rnacentral:rRNA from 1 species
AACGAACGCUGGCGGCAUGCCUAACACAUGCAAGUCGAACGAGACCUUCGGGUCUAGUGGCGCACGGGUGCGUAACGCGUGGGAAUUUGCCCUUGGGUUCGGAAUAACAGUUGGAAACGACUGCUAAUACCGGAUGAUGACGUAAGUCCAAAGAUUUAUCGCCAAAGGAUGAGCCCGCGUAGGAUUAGCUAGUUGGUGAGGUAAAGGCUCACCAAGGCGACGAUCCUUAGCUGGUCUGGGAGGAUGAUCCGCCGCACUGGGACUGAGACACGGCCCAGUCUCCGACGGAAGGCAGCAGUGGAGAAUAUUGGACGAGGGGCGAAAGCCUAAUCCAGCAGUGCCGCGUGAGUGAUGAAGGCCUUAGGAUUGUAAAGCUCUUUUACCCGAGAUGAUAAUGACAGUACCGGGAGAAUAAGCUCCGGCUAACUCCGUG